rnacentral:rRNA from 1 species
UACAGAGGUCCCAAGCGUUGUUCGGAUUCACUGGGCGUAAAGGGUGCGUAGGCGGUCGGGUAAGUCUGAUGUGAAAUCUCACAGCUUAACUGUGAAACUGCAUUGGAUACUAUCCGGCUCGAGGAAUGGAGGGGAGACUGGAAUACUUGGUGUAGCAAGUGAAAUGCGUAGAUAUCAAGUGGAACACCAGUGGCGAAGGCGAGUCUCUGGACAUUCCUGACGCUGAGGCACGAAAGCCAGGGGAGGCAAACGGG